UACGUAGGGGGCAAGCGUUGUCCGGAAUCAUUGGGCGUAAAGAGCGUGUAGGCGGCCAGGUAGGUCCGUUGUGAAAACUGGAGGCUUAACCUCCAGCUGUCGAUGGAAACCAUCUGGCUAGAGUCCGGAAGAGGAGAGUGGAAUUCCUGGUGUAGCGGUGAAAUGCGCAGAUAUCAGGAAGAACACCCGUGGCGAAGGCGGCUCUCUGGGACGGUACUGACGCUGAGACGCGAAAGCGUGGGGAGCGAACAGG
rnacentral:rRNA from 1 species